CUAAGAGAUAAGUGGAUGGGCUGUGGGCCCAUACUGGUUUAACACUCCCCCUCAAGAUGGGUGGUAGAUAUCUAUCAUUCCCAUCUUGUCACAUGCCAAGUUACAGUCCUUUGUUCCCAACCCCUUUGUUAAACAUGUUAGGCUUUAUGCACUAGCCAAUGCAACCAAAAGUCCAGACUGAUGAAAAGUGAUAGGCAAUCCACAUAUACACUUCAACACCCCCUCUCACGUGUGACGCGGAAAAGCCAGUCUAACUCUCAAAGACCCUGAGAAUCACGGCGGGGAGGGCCAGCCCCAACCAGAGUGUGCGUGCGACGGUCCUGGACAAAACAAGAGUCAACGUCAAGGAUGACGCGACAACCAGAAUCAGUAAGUUGACCAGCAGAAAACAGAUUCAUGGUAAGUUGAGGAACAUCAGCAACAUCAGGGACAGAAUAAGGAGUUGUAAGAUUGCCUCUACUAAUGACAGAAAGAGGAGUACCAUCAGCAGUGAGGACAUGAACAGGAGAAUCAAGCGAUCAAAGAGAGGACAGAGUGGAAGAAUGAGAAGACAUAUGAAAAGAAGCUCCAGAGUCCAAAACCCAUGGGGAUGUACCUGACUGUGUAGAAGGUGGUUGCUCAGUGCGGGAAG
rnacentral:lncRNA from 1 species